GAUGAAGAACGUAGCGAAAUGCGAUAAGUAAUGUGAAUUGCAGAAUUCAGUGAAUCAUCGAAUCUUUGAACGCACAUUGCGCCCCCUGGUAUUCCGGGGGGCAUGCCUGUCCGAGCGUCAUUACAACCCUCAAGCUCAGCUUGGUGUUGGGCCCCGCCGCCCCGGCGGGCCCUAAAGUCAGUGGCGGUGCCGUCCGGCUCCGAGCGUAGUAAUUCUUCUCGCUCUGGAGGUCCGGUCGUGUGCUCGCCAGCAACCCCCAAUUUUUUUCAGGUUGACCUCCGAUCAGGUAGGGAUACCCGCUGAACUUAAGCAUAUCAAUAAGCGGAGGA
rnacentral:misc_RNA from 1 species